GCGCCGCUAGCUCAGCCCGGUUAGAGCAGCUGACUCUUAAUCAGCGGGUCCGGGGUUCGAAUCCCUGGCGGCGCA
rnacentral:tRNA from 1 species